ensembl:lncRNA
CUUGGAACCAGGUAGCCUUGGUUGAAAUAUUGGGUUGGCUUCUUAUUGGCUAAAGCUUAGGGGACUUUAAUUAACAUCUCAGGACUUCUAUUCCCUUAACUGAUUCCUCAGAUAAUAUCUGGAUGAGGAUGCUAUGACCCACUGUGAGCAGAGUCCUGAGAGGACCGCUGGGCAAAGGUCAAGGUUUCACAGAUGCUCACUAUGCAACCAAGUGCUUGGAUGCUCCUCUGAGUGGACUCACCUCAGAUCCUGGAAUCUGCAGCUUUACAAACUUUGAUAACUCAAGAAAGAUGCUUCCUGAGAAGAUGAAUACAGAGCAUUCUGAACACUCUGCCAAAGAGGAGGAGGAGGAAGAGGAGGAGAAGGAAGAGGAGGAGGACGACGAGGAGGAGGAUGCAACAGCUGCCUGAGUGCCAGACUGCAGAGACUGUAUGCAAAGAUUUUGCAAUUUGAACAAUAGAAGAAAAGUUGAGGGUUAGAAAGACUAGCUGAGAACACUAAGCUAAGGACAACAAGA